rnacentral:lncRNA from 1 species
UCAGAUUUGGGUGUCGCGUGAGAAGCUGUCUGAUCCGCUUGCUUUGAAACUUAGUUAAAGCUUUGAGCCCAUAUACAGUUUUUGGUCAACAUGUCAAAGAGUUCUUGUUUCAGGAUCAUCUCAAGUUAUUCUCGAUUAUCGGCAAUGGAAUCAACAGAAAGAGGUGGUUUGAUCAAUUUUGGGUUUUUAGAAAUCAUCAAGAUGAAGUGUCCUCUUUGUUCGAUUUGAUUAGAAGAAAAGAUAUGGGAGAUGCGUUUGCAAAAUUGUUUCAAAUUUGUAUCCUUUAGAUAAUGAGUUGAUUGCUGAAGCAGAAUCAAAAGUGAUUCAUGGAGAAACAACAAGCGAAAAGAUAAUUGUAAAAUCGAAACAAGCGUUUUUGAUUCAGAGGUUGGGCUCUUGCUGGCAGAGAAGAUGAUAGCUAAAUUCAUAAGGAAGAAGAGUUUGAGAACCUUGCUGAGUGAUGGUCUUCUUAAUUCAGAAUCUGGAGGAGAAAGGUUGUCUUUAUUUCUCAAUCUGGAAUCAGCGAGAAAAAGAUUUAUGUUCAGCUUUUGGGUUUCAUGAAUAAGUUAGUUUGCGGUUGUUCUUCAAAUUGAUUCUUAAAGGGUGAA